CACUGUGUUAUGUUGGUUUGUGUGCUGAUGGAUGGUGCUGCGGGUUUGUGCGUGUUCCUUGUGUCGGUCCGGGUGUGUAUGAGAUUUGGAAGUAUAGUUUUUUUACACUUGCGCUGAAUGCGAUCUCAGUAUUUCUGGUUUUACGUGUAUGAAAGGUACAACGUAAAGGUGCAUAAUGAACCGAAGGAACAGAAACAAAUCACGCUCUGAUCGUGGUAAACCAACAUUUAAGGCCACAGCCAAAGCUAAGGCAUUCUCGCCUAGGAAAACCAGAUUAUCAAAGAAUGACAAAAAAAAACUUGUUGAGGCUGUUAAAGCAGAAGUUGCAGAAAGCUCAAAGUCAAAGCCUAAGGAAAAGAAACGGGGGAAUGCAACUACUCAGAAUACAAUGAAUUUGAGGUUAACAGAACAUGGAGCUGGAAUAACGGAGUAUAUCAGCAAACACGAAGGUUUUAGUGCAAUUAUCAAACAACGGUACUCAGAUUUUCAUGUUAAUGAAAUUGAUUGUGAUGGAAAUGUUGUGACAUUGACUACCUUAGAGGCACCAGAGGCUCCAGGUAAACUUUUCUGUUCUUGAUUUUGCCGUAGUUUCUUGAAGUGCAUGCAGUUUAUAGUUGCAUAUGUAUAAGCAUGUGCUGCCCUGGCAGAUGCGAAGUCAGUGUAUUCCUUAAUUAAUUUUAGGAGUAUAGUCUUGUAAAAUUAUAGAUCGUUCUUUUUUAUUGCACAGUGAAAUUUUGAAAGCAGCAGGUAAGAAAUGUUCUUAAUUUUCUUUAACUAAUAUCUCUCUCUCUCUCUCUCUCUCUCUCUCUCUCUCUCUCUCUCUCUCUCUGUCUGUGUGUGUGUGUGUGUGUGUGUGUGUGUGUGUGUGUGUGUGUGUUGCUAUUUAUUUUUUUGGAAUGCUUUUAUAGCUACUGUAAUUUAGUUUUUGGCUCAGAUCUCUUUCCUUUUUGUGUUUUGGGUGUAGUCUUUAGUGUGAAGAUUGUAUUUUUGGGGGUUUUCCUUGUUUCUGAUCUCAUUGCUCUUCUUGCCAUCUUGUUCAUAGCUACUUAUUUGGUUUGUUCCAAUGUGGUAGAAAUGUACUGAAAGUACAGCAGAUAUGAGCAUGUUUUUGUUGUCUAUGAAUACUUUAUUAUAUUCACUUGUUGCAAGCAAAGAUAAAGUUGUUAAAAUUAUCUAUGAUACAAAUUCAGCACUAUAAUUGUAAUUAUGCAGUUUUUUUCUUCAGCAAAUGUGUCAUUGAGUGUUCUGUGUGAGAAACAACUAAUGAUAUUAUGUUCAGAUAUUUUAUUGAAUAAGGACAGUAAUAUUUACCUUAACACAUUGUGAAUUAUAUCCAUAUAAACUGUAAGGGAUGAAAAUUGUAAUUUGUUAAUUGAAUUUGUUGAUCAAAGCUAUUACAAAUAAAGAAUAUUUUAUAACCAA